GCGGGUAUGGCGAAAUUGGCAGACGCGCUAGACUUAGGCUCUAGUUCUUACGAGUGCAGGUUCGACUCCUGUUACCCGCA
rnacentral:tRNA from 1 species